rnacentral:rRNA from 1 species
UACAGGGGGGGCUAGCGUUAUUCGGAAUUAUUGGGCGUAAAGGGCGCGUAGGCGGCCAUGCGUGUCUUCCGUGAAAUCCCUCGGCUUAACUGAGGACGUGCGGAAGAAACUGCAAGGCUCGAGUCCGGGAGAGGGGGGUGGAAUUCCCGGUGUAGCGGUGAAAUGCGCAGAUAUCGGGAAGAACACCCGUGGCGAAGGCGGUUCUCUGGGACGGUACUGACGCUGAGACGCGAAAGCGUGGGGAGCGAACAGG